GGCUUUGGAGGAACACCGAUGGCGAAGGCAGCCCCCUGGGCCGAUACUGACGCUCAUGCACGAAAGCGUGGGUAGCAAACAGGAUUAGAUACCCUGGUAGUCCACGCCCUAAACGAUGUCAACUAGUUGUUGGGGGGGUAAAACCCUUUAGUAACGUAGCUAACGCGUGAAGUUGACCGCCUGGGGAGUACGGCCGCAAGGUUAAAACUCAAAGGAAUUGACGGGGACCCGCACAAGCGGUGGAUGAUGUGGAUUAAUUCGAUGCAACGCGAAAAACCUUACCUACCCUUGACAUGUUCAGAAGCCUGAAGAGAUUUGGGUGUGCCCGAAAGGGAACUGGAACACAGGUGCUGCAUGGCUGUCGUCAGCUCGUGUCGUGAGAUGUUGGGUUAAGUCCCGCAACGAGCGCAACCCUUGUCAUUAGUUGCUACGAAAGGGCACUCUAAUGAGACUGCCGGUGACAAACCGGAGGAAGGUGGGGAUGACGUCAGGUCAUCAUGGCCCUUAUGGGUAGGGCUACACACGUCAUACAAUGGCCGGGACAGAGGGCUGCCAACCCGCGAGGGGGAGCUAAUCCCAGAAACCCGGUCGUAGUCCGGAUCGUAGUCUGCAACUCGACUGCGGAAGUCGGAAUCGCU
rnacentral:rRNA from 1 species